rnacentral:rRNA from 1 species
ACGAACGCUGGCGGCGUGCCUAAUACAUGCAAGUCGAACGGUCUUUCUAUGGAAGCUUGCUUCCACUGAGAAGAUAGUGGCGAACGGGUGAGUAACACGUGGGUAACCUGCCCAUAAGAGGGGGAUAACAUCCGGAAACGGGUGCUAAUACCGCAUAGUUUUCUUGAUCGCAUGAUUGAGAAAGGAAAGAUGGCCUUUGUGCUGUCGCUUAUGGAUGGACCCGCGGCGUAUUAGUUAGUUGGUGAGGUAACGGCUCACCAAGACGAUGAUACGUAGCCGACCUGAGAGGGUGAUCGGCCACAUUGGGACUGAGACACGGCCCAAACUCCUACGGGAGGCAGCAGUAGGGAAUCUUCCGCAAUGGACGAAAGUCUGACGGAGCAACGCCGCGUGAGUGAAGAAAGGUUUUCGGAUCGUAAAACUCUGUUGUCAGGGAAGAACAAGUUGGAGAGUAACUGCUCCAGCCUUGACGGUAUCUGACCAGAAAGCCACGGCUAACUACGUGCCAGCCGCUGC